CUAAGUCUUGGUCUAGGAAGUAUUUUCCCUAAGGUAAACUUUCACUAAUCUAGGUUUUUGUAAAGUUUUAAGCAUAGAGUUUCAAAUAGCUAAUUGACUAUGUUGUUGGGGGAAGUUUGUUAGGGUUUUUGAAAGGUUUUGAAGGAGUCAAAGCUUAUAGGAAGGUCCAAACCUUAAGCAAGAACACCAAAGAGGUAAGUGCAAGGGCAAGGCAGAGCAGUGAGCGCUGGAGUCUUCCUUGCAAAUGUACAUGUGGACCGACCUUUUGGGAAGCCUUUUUAUUUUUGGAAAUGUUGUGUAAUUUUCCUAAACUAGGCUCACUCUAAUCUUUAUAAAACAUGUUUGUAAUUAAAUGUUAAGUAUGGCCAUACGACUUUUUAAAAAGUUUUUUUUUCUA